rnacentral:rRNA from 1 species
UUGAGGGCAGUAGAACUCUUUGGGGUCGCCCCUAAAGGGAAGUAUGCUGCUUUUCUUAACCCUUUGACUUUUUGCAAACCCAAGUUUCCUCGGCAGGCUUGCCUGCCGGCUGGACAAUUUAUAAACCUUUUUAAUUCUCAAUCAGCGUCUGAAUAAUUAUAAUAAUUACAACUUUCAACAACGGAUCUCUUGGUUCUGGCAUCGAUGAAGAACGCAGCGAAAUGCGAUAAGUAGUGUGAAUUGCAGAAUUCAGUGAAUCAUCGAAUCUUUGAACGCACAUUGCGCCCCUUGGUAUUCCAUGGGGCAUGCCUGUUCGAGCGUCAUUUGUACCUUCAAGCUAUGCUUGGUGUUGGGUGUCUGUCUCUGCUUUUGUGCCUAGACUCGCCCUAAAUACAUUGGCAGCUAAUAUAUUUGUUUCAAGCGCAGCACAAUUUGCCUUGGAGCCUAUUGAUAUUCGCUUCCAUUAAGACUAUUUAACACUUUUGACCUCGGAUCAGGUAGGGAUACCCGCUGAACUUAAGCAUAUCAAUAA